rnacentral:lncRNA from 1 species
GUACUCGUUGUUACGAUCGCGUGAACGUGAAUUAGACCCAAAUGAAAAAGUCACGCUCCGUUAAAGUACGUUAACAAUGGGUGGAUUUGUACACGCAUGUGGGCUAAUUUAUUCUGUGUUGGAAACACUGUUUUUGAUAAAGGGAUAGAUUUUCUGAGUACUUUUUACUGUGCAAAUCUGAAAAACCCUAUCCCAUUUCCUUUUUAGAACCGGUCCCGUGUACCCAUUCCCCUCACCAAUCAAUUACUAUCUUCAAAUCUCUCACCCAAUCAUACAACAUUCCUCUCUCUUCUUCUCAGCCAAUUAGAGACCCCUCUCUCUCUCUCAUCUUCUUCUUUCUUCUCUCUCUCACCGAGGCUCUAUUUUCUCUGCAACAACAAAGAUCAUCUACAAAAACUCACAGAUCAAACCUAAACACACUACCAUCGUACUCCACUCAUCUUCACGAACCCAGCCGUACCCACCGAUCACAAAAUGGACAAGUUUUAACUCGUCAACUCAGAAGCUCCGACUCGGAGGACUUUGUUCCAACGUGAUCCUAGCUGAGUUACAAGUUUUUAGGAUGUUAGGAAGCCUCUACACAACUUCCCGAGGCUCUUAAUAUAAGUUUGAAGAAGAACCAACGUGUUAAAGCACGGUUUCAAAUAGUCGAGUUUUAGGUCGAGACUUUUGAGGCAUUUUCAGGCCUCUUCCCAUCCAUUUUUGGACUUCCAAAAGGUAUAGACUUGUUCUACUCCUUAAGAGCUUCAUUUCCAUAUAAAUUUAAUAAAAAAUAGUUGAGAAAUGAGCAGGCUGAUUUGAAUUUUUCCCUAGAAACCGGCAAAGUUUUAUAGUUUCCAGCAAAACUAGACGGCGGCGGAUGGAGGCGUUCCACCGGAGAAGACGAAGAAUAUUCCGUCAAAGUUGACGGAAUAUUCUAACGGCAUCAGGUAACGUCGUUAAGUUCUGUUACUCCGUCAACUCUGAUAGAAUAUUCCUGACUUCUGUUAGUCUCUACCAGGCGCGCACUUGGCCGCACAUGUGAUCGUGGGCUAAGCGGCGCGUAAGGGUGUGUCCGGCCUCCAGCCGGCGAGUGGUUGACGCGUAUGGGUCCGUGACAUCGAGUAGAAUGUUUUCAUAUAUUCAAACCUUCUGUUUGAGCAAACUAUGGGGGGUUUUUCCUAGCUUUAGUGUAUGUGUAAAUUAACUAAUUAUUAUUAGUUGUUUCGCAUAUGGGGAGACUUAUCCUGAGGACAUACGAGGACAAGUGAGGCUAAAGGGCUACAAUCCAUCGACGUAUCAGUAAGUAGGCAUUUGUUUUCGUGUAUAUAUAUAUAUAUAUAUAUAUAUAUAUAAACUUUAUAGUUUCCAUAAAUGCUUUUGAAUUGAUUUAUGCAUAUCAUGCCAUGAUUAAAUAACGUUAUAAGAAAUGUUGUAUUGUGGUGAAAUGCUAAAUAAUCCUACGGGAUGCGCAACUAAGUUUAUUGUCAGGUAAGUUUAUUAUGUUGACUAUAAUUUUUGAAUUGUUAUGGCAUGCUUAUAUUUAUGUAGUCUGCUCAUCAUUGUUGCACCCCAGUGUUAGUGCUUGCCCCGGGCCAAGGCCAAUCUUUCAUGUGUAUGUUCACCUUCGCACCGCACGCUCGCCUUGGAUCCAAGUAGGUGCCAGUUUUGUCGUACAUGUUGCAUUAGGCAACUCCAACUCGUAGGUGAUCGUGAUUAGCACCAGUCUUCACGUGAUUGUAGCACUAGAGCGUAUAUUAUGAUUACACCUAGUCCUGUCGUACAGGUCGCAUUAGGUGACUUUAACUCGUGUGCUAGCAUACAUUGAUGAGCAUUAGUUCAGUCGUACAGGUCGCAUUAAGCGACUCCGACUUGUGUGCUAGUAUAGAUUGAUUGAACCCCUGAUUUUACUUAUCUUACUAUUGAGAUAUUGUGAUGUGGCAUACUUCUGGGUUUACUGUUGAUUUGCAUUUGAUUUCAUACCUAUACGUAGUAUGAUUUUCUAGAAACUAUACAUGUUUGACAGCGAGGGAUUAGUAUGUUCAGAAAAUAAAUGGUUUUUAUAAAAUUUUGUUUUUACCAGUCACCCUUCUGUUUUUCGCCCUUCCAAGUCCUAGAUAGCUGAAUUACUCUGUGGCGUAUGAGGAUUAGCCGAUGAUUCUGACAUAUCCCUGUUUAAGUGUAGGAACUUAUCUCAUUGUGUAUUAAGUACUUAAUUAGUUUCGACUGCACCCUUUUGUCAUCUAUGCAUUGAAUAUUUGUAUUUUAUGGGUUCUACCCACUAUUGCGCACUCACUUUAUUAGUUUGAAUAAGCUCUAGUUUCGGUUUUAAUUUAUUCACAUUUUUACAUCACGGCCAGCAUGCCUCAACUCCAGUCGGGUGUGUCACUAAGAACAUUGCAAAACGUUUGAAAAAGUACGAGGAAAAGAUGAAGGCACACACCCUUUAUGUUAAACAAUCACCUCCCAAAAUCAUAUAUGUUACAAAUAGGUAUAUGGCUACUAUAGAUACAUGCAUCUGCAUAUCAUUCAACAAUUGAAAAUCAUUAUUUCUUCCAUACAAGCAUAAUGAGAGAACCACAAAGAAAUUCGCCAGAAACUAAGUAUUCUGGUGCGGGAAUCCUAGUUUAGAUCGUUGAAUCCUGGUGAAAUAGACGCAUAUAGAACUACAUGCACAAAAUGUGGGCGAAUUUUUGUUUCAAGAAUAUUGCGGUACGCAAGUCUCGAUCUUCACUUCGUUUGUUUUAUAUUAUUCUUGUUCAUUCAAUAUAUAAUGUUGUUAUUCAUUUGUUUAUUAGCAUAUUCGUGUGUGUGUGUAUAUAUAUUUGUUAUUGAUUGUUUAUAAAUAUCCAACAAAAAAUUAAAAAUGAAAUGGUUAUUAAACGGGUCUUUAAAAUACGUUUGUUUUUAAUAUUUAUUUUGUGUAUCUUUCUUGUACAAAUACUUUUAUAUAUUUUCCACCAUUCUUCCUCCACCCUUCUAUAUUUAUUUUUCUUUCAUGUAUUUCCCCCUUCUCUUUAUCCACAGAUGAAGUAAUUCUAGAGUCGAAUAAACAGGUCGAUGUCGCAAAACAUAGAGAGAUAUUAAUGGAACUCCUUUAUAACUCGUACAUUCCAUAUCCCAUCGCAUGGGAAUUGUUGGGAUGGAAUUAUGGAACUGAUGUGAAAAAUAAGUUAACACACAAAAUUAAACCCUCUUUUUAUCAAUUGUAGCAAAGUAUGUAAAUAGGGAUCGUUCUAGACCGGGGAUUAGGAUGGAUUGCUAAACACUUGAAAACUGACUUAGAAAUGUAAAAACAAAGUUUAAAGCACUAGAUUAGACUCAAAAAAUGCAAAACUAAACUCUAAAACACUAAAACGAACCAAAAGAAUCAAAACAGCAACCAAACACUCAAAA